CUGACUUUCUCCACAGAUCAGGUACAACACAGGCAGCAGCAGCACAAGCUUCCCCACACUGCUUUGUCUCUCUUAGGUCCCAUCAUCUGACUCUUCUUAGCGUAUGGGACCCUGCCUCUUGUUGGGAGAAGAUAAUUCAG
rnacentral:sRNA from 1 species